rnacentral:rRNA from 1 species
UGCGGUGGUCGACUGCUAUCGCGCAGUCAGGUCGUGCUCGGGCGCGGUUAGUACCUCGAUGCGCGACCGCUAGUGGCCCUACCGGGAUGGCCCUACCGUGUACGGACCGGAUAUAGGGCUUGGCACAUCGAUGGCUGACCACUAUCCUAAAUCGCUGCCGCGCGAGCGCACUCGAUUGCCGGAAUCUUUUUUG